AACGAACGCUGGCGGCAGGCCUAACACAUGCAAGUCGAGCGAGGACUUCGGUUCUAGCGGCGGACGGGUGAGUAACGCGUGGGAAUGUGCCCUUCUCUACGGAAUAGCCCUGGGAAACUGGGAGUAAUACCGUAUACGCCCUUUUGGGGAAAGAUUUAUCGGAGAAGGAUCAGCCCGCGUUGGAUUAGGUAGUUGGUGGGGUAAUGGCCUACCAAGCCGACGAUCCAUAGCUGGUUUGAGAGGAUGAUCAGCCACACUGGGACUGAGACACGGCCCAGACUCCUACGGGGGGCAGCAGUGGGGAAUCUUAGACAAGGGGGGCAACCCUGAUCUAGCCAUGCCGCGUGAGUGAUGAAGGCCUUAGGGUUGUAAAGCUCUUUCAGCUGGGAAGAUAAUGACGGUACCAGCAGAAGAAGCCCCGGCUAACUCCGUG
rnacentral:rRNA from 1 species